UCCUAACAUUUGACAAACUGGAGUUGAACUAAAGGCUCCACAGGGGAAAGUUUCUGGUCUUACUAGUGUGUAUGAGCAAGAUCUGCUAAAACUUACUCCACUGGGUAAAUGGUUGACUGAGUCAAGAACAGGAUAUUAUCUCCUGCAUAGUUUUCAGUAAUGUAAGUGUGGACUAGUGCAUAUUUCAGACAACUGCUCUGCCUGUGCAAUGAAAAAUAGCCUUUAAGGGUUUCUUUGCAGACUGAUUUCAUUGGAUGGAUACUUAAUGCUGUGAAACAUGAUAGGAUUAACAUAAUGUUGGUGGAUUUCUUGAAUAGAAUUUGUCUUAACAUUCCUCUUUGUGUAGAGGCUUUAUUUUCUCUCUUAUAUUUGUAGCUAACCAGCUCAGGUUUUUUUAUUUGAACUGGGUUGAAUCUCUGAAGAAAUCUGUUCCAAGACCAUGCUAUAAAGACACUGUCAGCUAAUGGAGCUGGGAAGGGUGUACUCUGCUGACAGAGCAUUUCCUUGGGUGAUCAUAGUUUUGAGGUAGAGUUUAUGAUCAUUCAUAGCUUUGUCUAGAAGGAGUAAAAUAUCAUGGCCUUAACACAAAGGGUGCUGCGUAGAAUAUGAAUUGAUUUUGGAAUCCGAACACAAGCACCAUACUGAAGGACUAGCAGCCAAAUAACUGCCUAGGAUACUGAUGGUUGUGAAGACUGUUUCAAAUGAUUGGAUCUUUGAAAGCUUCAGCGUGCCUUAGUUUCUAGGAUCAGAAUUAGUUUUCCUCUCACUUGGCCUUGCAGCUAAAUGGAGAAAUGUUUCAAUUUCUUUGAAUACUUGCACAUUUCAAUAAUUCCUUUCCCGAUUGCAACCACUCAAGGGGGAGCAAAUUUGGAUGGAUUUACAACUUCAGAGGCAUUGUGAGGAAAGAGCAUUUUCCAAGGCUGUCUUGAUAACCCUGGGGUGAUAAGCAGUGAUCCCUCACACACUUACUUUGACAAUUUCACAUGCACUUGUACCUCAUUAUUUCCCUCUUCAAGAGUCAAUUCUAUUCUAGUCUGUGCCCCAUCCCCGGGGAAUCCUAAGAGAGAAUUUAUUCAUCUAAGUAAUCUCAAAAAACUGUAGGAAGGGUGCUCUCCCUGAGAAGCUUCUCCCACAGUGCUUUGGUGCUGUUACCUUGAGGUGGUUUGGACAGUCACAGAAGUUUUAGGCUGUGCAUAAUGAUCAUCUGUUCAUUUUAAGGUCUUUCUCAUUUAAAGAAACAUUCCUCAGUGUAACAUUUGGGAGGGGAUUAUUUCCUCUUGCUAGUUUAAAGGUGUGAUUCGUACUCCUUGUUUGUCCCAUUCAUAUAUGAAAAUAAGACUUAAAACUGUCCAACACUAAUGGUUUAUGUAACAUGCUUCCCAUUUUUUUUAUGUCAUAGAAGAGAUUGGAAGUUAGGGAGUACUGCUUUCAAGGUUCAACUUCAUUAUCUUCUGCAUUGGAAAAUAUUUGGGCCAUGAGAACUAGGGGAAAGGAGUUUGAAUGUGUGUAUUUUUUUCUAGUGAAUGUAUUUUAACCACAGUGUCCUAAACUGAGAAAACUAGAGAGGAAAAAGUGGGUGUUCAUGAACUUUGUGGUUGGGAGAGUGGUUUUACAUGUCUGUGUAUUCAUGACUUUGGGAGUGGGGAGGAUCAUUGGAGAGACAAUUGCACAGAAAGUCCUGAAGUUUAAAACACUUUUGACCAGCUUUGGCUUGGGAGAGUGGGGCUGCUUGUGGAACUGGAAGUGAAUAACUUUUUCAAGCAAUAUCAGUGAGUGGGUCCCAUCGACAGGGUUCCAGGACCUGGAACACUUUAACAGAAGGAAAUGCUGAAGCAGCUUGCAUAGUUGCUUUACAGACUUCCAAGAGGCUGAUUCUGGCUUCAAGAUGGAGCAUUGGAGUUGGUUUUUUGUUUUUUGGGUUUUUUUUUUUUUCCUCAAAGAACCUGCGGUUGCGCUUUGUGUGUUUUGUUUUUGUUUUCUAUUUGGGGGCCCCAUGGGAAAGAGCUUCUGAACUCUUUCCUUUAUGAACUCCCACUGUGUUCCUAUAAAGGCCCUUUUCUUUCAUAGUAUUGUAAGUUACAUUUUCAUUAUGCCCCAUCACAUCUUCUUUACUGUAAAAAUAUUAAAAAGCUGUUUCCAAGUGGGACAGCUAAUGAAGCUCUAAUUAUUGCAGACAUAUUUUUGAGAUGUAAAAAAAAAAAAUUAAAGUUAAAUGAUAAGUCUUAGAGGCGAGUGAGGAAUAAAAUGGAUGUAAACAUUUACAUGGGAUGCAUUAGAAUUCUGCUGUGUGUAUUGUCUUUUGGUUGAAACAAAUUAUGAACAGUGACUAAUAAUAAAAAGUCAAUACCCAA
rnacentral:lncRNA from 1 species